AUACUUUUCUGGCAGGGGAGUUUUAGCCAUGAUCACUAAGGUGGCACUCCCAGGGCGAGGCUGGUUCAUUGCUCUUUAAGCCCGCUUUCCUCUGCGACUCCCCUACAUGUGGGAAACUUGGCUGCACAAUCUAUGGUAGUGGGGGACUGUGUGCACGUUUUCCCCUC